GUGGGGAAUUUUGGACAAUGGGCGCAAGCCUGAUCCAGCAAUGCCGCGUGCAGGAAGAAGGCCUUCGGGUUGUAAACUGCUUUUGUACGGAACGAAACGGUCCUGGCUAAUAUCCGGGGCUAAUGACGGUACCGUAAGAAUAAGCACCGGCUAACUACGUGCCAGCAGCCGCGGUAAUACGUAGGGUGCAAGCGUUAAUCGGAAUUACUGGGCGUAAAGCGUGCGCAGGCGGUUUUGUAAGACAGGCGUGAAAUCCCCGGGCUCAACCUGGGAAUUGCGCUUGUGACUGCAAGGCUGGAGUGCGGCAGAGGGGGAUGGAAUUCCGCGUGUAGCAGUGAAAUGCGUAGAUAUGCGGAGGAACACCGAUGGCGAAGGCAAUCCCCUGGGCCUGCACUGACGCUCAUGCACGAAAGCGUGGGGAGCAAACAGGAUUAGAUACCCGGGUAGUCC
rnacentral:rRNA from 1 species